rfam:Canis lupus familiaris chromosome 2, whole genome shotgun sequence.
UCCUGGCUGGCUCAGUUGACAGAGCAUGUGACUCUUGAUCUCACAGUUGUGAGUUCAAGCCCCACGCUGAGUG